rnacentral:rRNA from 1 species
UCGCGGCCUAUCAGCUUGUUGGUGGGGUAAUGGCCUACCAAGGCAACGACGGGUAGCCGGCCUGAGAGGGUGACCGGCCACACUGGGACUGAGACACGGCCCAGACUCCUACGGGAGGCAGCAGUGGGGAAUAUUGGACAAUGGGCGAAAGCCUGAUCCAGCAACGCCGCGUGAGGGAUGACGGCCUUCGGGUUGUAAACCUCUUUCAGCAGGGACGAAGCGCAAGUGACGGUACCUGCAGAAGAAGCACCGGCCAACUACGUGCCAGCAGCCGCGGUAAUACGUAGGGUGCGAGCGUUGUCCGGAAUUAUUGGGCGUAAAGGGCUCGUAGGCGGUUUGUCGCGUCGGGAGUGAAACCUCAGGGCUUAACCCUGAGCCUGCUUCCGAUACGGGCAGACUAGAGGUAUGCAGGGGAGAACGGAAUUCCUGGUGUAGCGGUGAAAUGCGCAGAUAUCAGGAGGAACACCGGUGGCGAAGGCGGUUCUCUGGGCAUUACCUGACGCUGAGGAGCGAAAGUGUGGGGAGCGAACAGGAUUAGAUACCCUGGUAGUCCACGCCGUAAACGGUGGGUGCUAGUUGUGGGCCACAUUCCACGUGGUCCGUGACGAAGUUAACACAUUAAGCACCCCGCCUGGGGAGUACGG